CGGUUGAUCCUGCCGGACCCGANUGCUAUUUGGGUGAGAAUAAGCCAUGCGAGUUGAAUGGGAUACNAAAGUUCCCAUAGCAAACUGCUCAGUAACACAUGAUCAACUUACCCUAUAGAGAAAAAUAACCUCGGGAAACUGAGGAUAAUGUUUCAUAAUUGAACUGGCUUGGAAAAGUUUUUCAAUGAAAGGGAUAAAAAAAAUGGUUUUUAUCUGCUAUAGGAUAGGAUCGUGUUCGAUUAUGGUUGUUGGUGAGAUAAUGGCUCACCAAGCCGAUAAUCGAUAGGGGCCGUGAGAGCGGGAGCCCCGAGAUGGGUACUGAGACAACGACCCAGGCCUUACGAGGCGCAGCAGGCGCGGAACCUCCGCAAUACACGAAAGUGUGACGGGGUUACCCAAAGUGUUCAAUAGAACUGUGGUAGGUGAGUAAUGUCCCCUACUAGAAAGGAGAGGGCAAGGCUGGUGCCAGCCGCCGCGGUAAAACCAGCUCUUCAAGUGGUCGGGAUAAUUAUUGGGCUUAAAGUGUCCGUAGCCGGUUUAGUAAGUCCCUGGUAAAAUCGGGUAGCUUAACUAUCUGCAUGCUAGGAAUACUGCUAUACUAGAGGGCGGGAGAGGUCUGAGGUACUGCAGGGGUAGGGGUGAAAUCUUAUAAUCCUUGUAGGACCACCAGUGGCGAAGGCGUCAGACUGGAACGCGCCUGACGGUGAGGGACGAAAGCCAGGGGAGCGAACCGGAUUAGAUACCCGGGUAGUCCUGGCCGUAAACGAUGCAUACUAGGUGAUGGUACGGCCAUGAGCUGUAUCAGUGCCGUAGGGAAACCGUUAAGUGUGCCGCCUGGGAAGUACGGUCGCAAGGCUAAAACUUAAAGGAAUUGGCGGGGGAGCAC
rnacentral:rRNA from 1 species